CUGCUGAUUGCCAUGUAAACUUCUUGCUUCAUUUUCAGCAUACAGAAGCUUAGAGGAUGAAUUGACCUUGUACAAACUUAGCCAACCUCAGCAAUCUCCUGCCAGAUGUGUGCUUCAUUAUUUAAGUGAUACCACACUGUCAGACUCCUCCUGAAAUGAAGUGGACAUGCCAAUGCAGCGUCUGGUCCUCAGAUCCUUAGUUCCUGGCAUGGACAGACCUGGAAGUCGUGUCAGCCAUGAAGGUCAAUGGACAUAUCUGUGAGGAUGUGGCUGGAGGUACUUGGAGAAGGAGAAAGCAUCAAAACCACUCCUCCCUGUGUGUACAUCUAUAUCCAGAGGAUACUUCAGGAAUGAUGGAUUGAGGCACACACGUAAUGACCUGUUCCAGUCAGGAACUGAGACAGCCUCAAAGGGAGCUGCCGAUGAGAUCUAUGGAAUGGGACAUGUGAGUGUAUACAAGAGCAGUGUUGGUACAAUUUUGCAUGUAUAUCUUCCUGCCAGAAAGUUAAAAAAAAUUCAAGACUGCACGUUUUGGAGGAUUAAUCAUCUGAGUUUUUUCUAUAAUUUGUCACCAACAGGAGUAGUGUUUUCUGUUUCUGUUUUAC
ensembl:lncRNA